AAGACUUCUACAUAGAACACUAUAACAUAUUAUUGUAAGAAACUGCAGAACUAAAUAAACAGAGAGCUAUGUCAUGAUCAGACUUAGAAGACUCAGUAAAGUUGUCAUUCUCUCUCCAAUUGUUCUAUAGAUUCAUUUCACUACCAGGUCAAAGACACAAUCAAAAGCCCGACAAAUGGAAUUUGUGGAAUUGGAACAAAAAGAGCUUUUCUUCCUAGGCACAAGAACAUCAAAGCAUAAAUCCUUCAGGUAUCAGCAAUGACAUCACUUAAGAAUUUCUCAGAAUCUUUGGCACCACCCCAGGCCUACCGGAUCAGAAUCUGAAUUUUUUAACAAGAUCUCAGAUCUAGUCAAGAGUCCAGUCUGAUUUCUCUUUAUUGGGACUACCACCCAAAGCAGAAUGAGGAUGAUGUAACCACGCCCAGUGACUUCUGGAUACCACUGACUCUAGAUCCUGAAUUCCAGCAGAAUGGCUGACACCAACUGGUCUGAAGACCCUCACCAAGGAACUGACUCAGUGCAGGAAUGCAGUUUCUUCAUCUCCCUAUCCCUGACUUCACCCCUCACUUCUCAACCAAUCAGUGAUCACCACACUUUAGGCCAUCACCUGUGUCCAGACCCCUUAAAAACCCCAUCUGCAAACCUCUUGAAGAGGCAUAUUUGAGGUUUCCUCUCAUCUCCUCAUUUGGUUUCCCUACAAUUAUUAAAUUCUUUCUCUGCUGCAACUCCUACUUUUUCAGUGUAUUGGUCUGUUACUGUGCAACAGGAAAUCAGACCUGGUGGUCCUAUAGUAAGAGUUCACAGAAUAUGAUAUACAAAGUGAUCUGUGAUAUACAAAAACCGGCACAAUCUCACUCUUAAUAAGAAAAAUUCAACUUAAAAUUAAAAGUUUUUUUUCCUCAGAAUGGCAAAGAUCAAAGUUUGAUAACAUGGUUGGAAAGUAUGCAGACCGAUAUUCUCAUAUUCAUUGAUGAAGUGUAAAUUGAUACAUCCUUUGUCAGUACGGACAGGUUUCCCAACUCUAGGGGUGAAAUUUAUACAGACUACAGUGUGAAUGACAACCACUUCAAAUUGGGUGAUAUGAUGACCUUGACUCUGUGGAGGGUCAUUUGGCAAAAUAUCUCAAAAUAAAAAUGUACAUACAAUUUGACUCAGUGAUUUUGCUUUCUGGAAUGUUUCCUGCAUGUGUGAAUUUAUAUAUGUACAAUGAAAUGCUUCACAAUAGAACAUUCUUCAGCCAUUAAAUAGAAUGAGGCAGUUCUAUAGAUUCUCUAUUGGAAUGAUCUCCAUGAUAUCCUGUUUAGUGGGAGAAAGCAAGUUGUGGAAGAGGAACUUUAAU
rnacentral:lncRNA from 1 species